rnacentral:rRNA from 1 species
UACGAAGGGGGCUAGCGUUGUUCGGAAUUACUGGGCGUAAAGCGCGCGCAGGCGGGUCAUCAAGUCAGGGGUGAAAGCCCAGAGCUCAACUCUGGAACUGCCCUUGAAACUGGUGACCUUGAGUACGGGAGGGGUGAGUGGAAUUCCCAGUGUAGAGGUGAAAUUCGUAGAUAUUGGGAAGAACACCGGUGGCGAAGGCGGCUCGCUGGGCAGUGGCUGACGCUGAGGCGCGACAGCGUGGGGAGCAAACAGG